AUUGAACGCUGGCGGCAUGCUUUACACAUGCAAGUCGAACGGUAACAGGUUAAGCUGACGAGUGGCGAACGGGUGAGUAAUGCAUCGGAACGUGCCCGAUCGUGGGGGAUAACGCAGCGAAAGCUGCGCUAAUACCGCAUACGAUCUGAGGAUGAAAGCGGGGGACCGUAAGGCCUCGCGCGAUCGGAGCGGCCGAUGUCAGAUUAGGUAGUUGGUGGGGAAAAGGCUCACCAAGCCAACGAUCUGUAGCUGGUCUGAGAGGACGACCAGCCACACUGGGACUGAGACACGGCCCAGACUCCUACGGGAGGCAGCAGUGGGGAAUUUUGGACAAUGGGCGAAAGCCUGAUCCAGCAAUGCCGCGUGCAGGAAGAAGGCCUUCGGGUUGUAAACUGCUUUUGUACGGAGCGAAAAGGCUCUCUCUAAUACAGGGGGCUCAUGACGGUACCGUAAGAAUAAGCACCGGCUAACUACGUGCCAGCCGCCGCCGGUAA
rnacentral:rRNA from 1 species